rnacentral:sRNA from 1 species
AAAGAUCUUUCAAACUCUGUCGAUUAGAUU